rnacentral:lncRNA from 1 species
GCCAGGUCUGGAGAGGCCUGGCUACUGGUGAGUGAGGUAACUGAGAUCAGGUAUGGAGAGGACUGGCUCCUGGUGAGUGAGUUAAUUGAGAUGAGGUAUGGAGGGACCUGUCUCCUGGUGAGUGAGUUAAUUGAGAUGAGGUGUGGAGGGACCUGUCUCCUGGUGAGUGAGUUAAUUGAGAUGAGGUGUGGAGGGACCCGGCUCCUGGUGAGUGAGUUAAUUGAGACUCGGUGUGGAGGGACUUGGCUCCUGGUGAGUGAGUGAAUUGAGAUGAGGUAUGGAGGGACCUGGCUCCUGGUGAGUGAGUGAAUUGAGAUGAGGUGUGGAGGGACCUGUCUCCUGGUGAGUGAGUUAAUUGAGAUGAGGUAUGGAGGGACCUGUCUCCUGGUGAGUGAGUUAAUUGAGAUCAGGUAUGGAGGGACUUGGCUCCUGGUGAGUGAGUUAAUUGAGACUCUGUGUGGAGGGACCUGGCUCCUGGUGAGUGAGUUAAUUGAGAUGAGGUAUGGAGGGACCUGGCUCCUGGUGAGUGAGUUAAUUGAGAUCAGGUAUGGAGGGACCUGGCUCCUGGUGAGUGAGUUAAUUGAGAUGAGGUGUGGAGGGACCUGGCUCCUGGUGAGUGAGUUAAUUGAGAUGAGGUAUGGAGGGACCUGGCUCCUGGUGAGUGAGUUAAUUGAGAUCAGGUAUGGAGGGACCUGGCUCCUGGUGAGUGAGUUAAUUGAGAUGAGGUAUGGAGGGACCUGGCUCCUGGUGAGUGAGUGAAUUGAGAUCAGGUAUGGAGGGACCUGGCUCCUGGUGAGUGAGUUAAUUGAGAUGAGGUAUGGAGGGACCUGGCUCCUGGUGAGUCUCCUGGAGGCAGCUGCUAUCUGGGAACACAGGCACAGGUGGGAACAGACCUUCACUUCCUGCUCACUUAGGUUCAGUGAGUUCUCCAAACCAGCCUCCCAGGAAUGCCAUUCAACAUGGC